rnacentral:rRNA from 1 species
GCAGGUUGAAGCGCGGGUAAGACCGCGUGGAGGACCGAACCCACCUGGGUUGAAAACCGGGGGGAUGACCUGGGGCUAGGGGUGAAAGGCCAAUCAAAUUCCGUGAUAGCUGGUUCUCUCCGAAAUGCAUUUAGGUGCAGCGUCGGUUGAUUGCAUCGCGGGGGUAGAGCUACUGGAUGCUUGCGGGCCCGUAUGGGGUACCAACAGCAGCCAAACUCCGAAUACCGUUGAUGUGUAUUCCGGCAGUGAGUCGGCGGGGGAUAAGCUCCGUCGUCGAGAGGGAGACAGCCCAGAUCGUCGUCUAAGGUCCCGAAGCGUGUGCUAAGUGGGAAAGGAUGUGGAGUCGCAUAGACAGCCAGGAGGUUGGCUCAGAAGCAGCCAUCCUUGAAAGAGUGCGUAACAGCUCACUGGUCUAGUGGUUCCGCGCCGACAAUGUAGCGGGGCUCAAGCACACCACCGAAGACGCGGCAGCAAUCUUCAUGGUUGCUGGGUAGGAGAGCGUCCUGCGAGGGGCGAAGCGGCCGGGUAACCGUGCCGUGGACUUCGUGGGAGUGAGAAUGCAGACAUGAGUAGCGAGAGACGGGUGAGGAUCCCGUCCGCUGGAUGACCAAGGGUUCCGGGGCCACGUUCGUCGUCCCCGGGUGAGUCGGGUCCUAAGGCGAGGCCGACAGGCGUAGUCGAAUGGAUGAACGGGUGGAUAUUCCCGUACCGACCAUGGACCGGCAAAACCGAGACGGUGAGUACUAACCUCCGCCUCGUGGUGGUUCCUUCCUUCGGGUUGGUUCCGCCGCGUGGUGUUGGGAGCGUAGCCGUAGUAGGUCAGCGCAGGGGUGACACGGAAUGGGAGCCGGCCGCGGAGGUGGUUUUCCGUGGUCAAGCACGCAGCCCGUCCCAUAGGCAAAUCCGUGGGGCAUGCAGGGUGAGGUGCGAUGAUGGGCGCCUUUCAGGCGCGAUAUCCGGUGGUCCAGGCCGUCGAGAAAAGCCUCGGCGCGAGGGGCGUUGCCGCCCGUACCCCAAACCGACACUGGUGGUCAGGUAGAGAAUACCAAGGCGAUCGAGCGAAUCCUGGUCAAGGAACUCGGCAAAUCACUCCCGUGCCUUCGGUAUAAGGGAGACCCGCUGGGGUGAACCGGCUAGCCCGGGGAGCUUUGGUGGGUGGCACAGACCAGGGGGUAGCGACUGUUUACCAAAAACACAGGUGCAUGCGAAGGCGCAAGCCGCUGUAUAUGCACUGACGCCUGCCCGGUGCCGGAAGGUUAAGAGGAUCCGUCAGCCCUCGGGUGAAGCGGUGAAUUCAAGCCCCGGUAAACGGCGGUGGUAACUAUAACCAUCCUAAGGUAGCGAAAUUCCUUGUCGGGUAAGUUCCGACCUGCACGAAUGGCGUAACGACUUCCCCACUGUCUCGACCAGGAGCUCGGCGAAAUUGCAGUACGAGUAAAGAUGCUCGUUAAGCGCAGAAGGACGAAAAGACCCCGGGACCUUUACUAUACCUUGGUAUUGGCGUUAGGCGCGGAUUGUGUAGCAUAGGCGGGAGGCUUCGAAGCGGGUGCGCCAGCAUUCGUGGAGCCGCAAGGUGAAAUACCGCUCUGUUCUCGUUUGACGUCUAACCUCGACAAGUCAUCCUUGUCAGGGACAGUGCCUGGCGGGUAGUUCAACUGGGGCGGUUGCCUCCCAAAGAGUAACGGAGGCGCUCAAAGGUCCGCUCAGCCCGGUUGGCAAUCGGGUGUCGAGUGUAAUCGCACAAGCGGGCUUGACUGCGAGGACGACGGUCCGAGCAGGGACGAAAGUCGGAGAUAGUGAUCCGGUGCCGGCGCACGGGCGCGGCAUCGCUCAACGGAUAAAAGGUACCCCGGGGAUAACAGGCUGAUCAUUCCCAAGAGUCCAUAUCGACGGGAUGGUUUGGCACCUCGAUGUCGGCUCGUCGCAUCCUGGGGCUGGAGCAGGUCCCAAGGGUUCGGCUGUUCGCCGAUUAAAGCGGCACGCGAGCUGGGUUCAGAACGUCGUGAGACAGUUUGGUCUCUAUCCUCUGCGCUCGUUGGAAUCCUGAGGAGGCCUGCCCAUAGUACGAGAGGACCUGGGUGGACGAACCUCUGGUAUGCCGGUUGUCGCGCCAGCGGCACGGCCGGUUGGCUACGUUCGGGAGGGAUAACCGCUGAAAGCAUCUAAGCGGGAAGCCUGCUCCAAGAUUAGGAUUCC